rnacentral:rRNA from 1 species
AAUGAACGUUGGCGGCAUGGAUUAGGCAUGCAAGUCGAGCGAGAAGCCUUUUUUGCUUGCAUUAAAGGCGGACAGCGGCGAAAGGGAGAGUAACGCGUAGAAACGUACCCCAAAGUCCGGGAUAGCGGCGGGAAACUGCCGGUAAUACCGGAUAAUAUCUUCGGAUCAAAGUUUUUCGCUUUGGGAGCGGUCUGCGUACUAUUAGGUAGUUGGCGGGGUAAUGGCCCACCAAGCCUCAGAUGGUUAGCGGGCGUGAGAGCGUGGCCCGUCUCACUGGGACUGAGACACUGCCCAGACACCUACGGGUGGCUGCAGUCGAGAAUCUUCCGCAAUGGGCGAAAGCCUGACGGAGCAAUGCCGCGUGCGGGAUGAAGGCCUUCGGGUUGUAAACCGCUGUCAGUAGGGAGGAAAUUUUGACCGAUCUACAGAGGAAGUCCGGGCUAAGUACG